rnacentral:rRNA from 1 species
CCUACGGGAGGCAGCAGUAGGGAAUCUUUCACAAUGGGCGAAAGCCUGAUGGAGCAACGCCGCGUGAAGGAUGAAGGCCUUCGGGUUGUAAACUGCUUUUAUAAGCGAGGAAUAUGAUGAUAACUUAUGAAUAAGGAUCGGCGAAAUACGUGCCAGCAGCCGCGGUCAUACGUCGUAUCCGAGAAUUAUCAGGGGUGACUGGGGGUAAAGAGUUGCGUGAGUUGGAUAAGAAGGAGAUAGUGAAAUCAGGUGGGCCAACCAUUCAGACUAUUAGCUAAACUGUUAAGCUCGAGCACGUGAGAGGUAAGUGGAAUUUCUAGUGUAGGGGUGAAAUCCGUAGAUAUUAGAAGGAACACCAAUAGCGUAGGCAGGUUACUGGGACGGAUCUGACGCUGAGGCACGAAAGCGUAGGGAGCAAACGGGAUUAGAUACCCGGGUAGUC